AACGAACGCUGGCGGCAUGCCUAACACAUGCAAGUCGAACGAGACCUUCGGGUCUAGUGGCGCACGGGUGCGUAACGCGUGGGAACCUGCCCUUAGGUUCGGAAUAACUCCCCGAAAGGGGUGCUAAUGCCGGAUAAUGUCUUCGGACCAAAGAUUUAUCGCCUUUGGAUGGGCCCGCGUUGGAUUAGCUAGUUGGUAGGGUAAAAGCCUACCAAGGCGACGAUCCAUAGCUGGUCUGAGAGGAUGAUCAGCCACACUGGGACUGAGACACGGCCCAGACUCCUACGGGAGGCAGCAGUGGGGAAUAUUGGACAAUGGGCGAAAGCCUGAUCCAGCAAUACCGCGUGAGUGAUGAAGGCCUUAGGGUUGUAAAGCUCUUUUACCCGGGAUGAUAAUGACAGUACCGGGAGAAUAAGCUCCGGCUAACUCCGUG
rnacentral:rRNA from 1 species